UGUGCCAGCCAGUCUGGAAGGCCCUGCUGCGGCAAGGACCGCCCCCAGGUGGCCCAAGUGUCUCUACUGCACUUGCCCGGUACCGGAUGAGGCAAUGAAGUCGUCUCGGGCGGAAGCUGCUCUUCCUAGCUGUCUCGGGCGCCCUCCAGCGGGAGGAAGGGCCAGGGCCGCAGCCCUGCGCGGGGAGGUGGCACGGGGAGGACAGGAUGGGCGUUACAGGGUGGCGUUGCCCAACUCGCUCUCUGUUUUAUUUUUUGUCUAAGGUAGUGCCUGGCGCAUGGUUGGUGCCCAGUAUUUGUCGGAAAAACAUGGGUUGCAAAGAACUUGGUCGCCGGAUCUCGAGGGCAUACUGCAGCCAUUGGAAGUCUUGAGCACAGAGAGAUACGUGGACGCGAAGGGCCAUAGAAUCCCAAUAUGGGGUUGGUGAGGGAGGAUUCUUGACUGAAAGGAUGUUCGCAGGUCUUGAAGGAAACUAGUCGUUAAGGCCUUUGACCAUGUCGCUAAGGAAUUUGAGAUAGGAUUGGAGUGGAAUUACCCUGGUGUUUGCUGAAGCAGUCCAGGGCGAGGAGGUGAGAAAUAGAGGUGUUCAUGGUGUAUCGUCUAAUGUAUGGAAAGGGGACAGUGGCAGGUUGAAUAACGGUGGUAAAUUUUGUUUCUUGGAGAGAAGCACUAAAUUUGAGAAGAGUGAAAAUAAGCGUCUGAAGCUGCUGUUCUCAUGUUUGUUUUUCCGGGGGCCCAGUGAGAAUCAAAACCUUUGCUAUGUGUUCCUCAAGAUAUUGUCCGGAGCAUCUGGAUGUGUCAGAAAGUCCGGACUCUGACCUUAUAGGUUCAAGACUCAACCCUGCCAGCCCCUAGCUCUGUGGCCUUUGGGUAGGCUGAAGUGCCAUCCAGCAAAAUGGAAAGUCUUAAAUGAAAUAAAAAGAUCACCAUUUGCUCAUAAAAUGGCCCCUGGAUACCUGCUUUGCAUUAGAGGGCAAGUAGUAGUUUACAGAUAGGCUCUGUGAUGGUUAAUUUUAUGUAUCAACUUGGCGGGGCCAUGGUGCCUAGAUAUUUGGUCAAACAUUAUUCUGGAUAUUUCUGUGAGGUUGUUUUUGGAGGUGAUUGACAUUUAAAUCAUUGGACUUUGAGUAAAGCCAAUUGCCCUCAUGAAUAGAACAAAAGACUGACCUCUCCAAGCAAAAAAAGGAAUUCUCCCAGCAGACAGCCUUUGGACACCAUUUUAUGGGUAUUCUUAAGAAUGGUUGUCUUAAAGGUAUCUCUUUGAAGUUGCAAGUUUAAAAAGAACAUAAGAUCAGAGGUUUACUUGACAAGAGCUGCAGUCCAAAUAUACGAGGCGGGGAGUUAGCAGGAUUAUCCAUAAAUUAGCCCAGGUCAGAAUCUGACAGAGGUAGGGGUCACGAGAGGUCUCUUAACAAUUACCGCAAAUCAUGAAAGUACCCCCCAAAUCUUUAAACUUAAGGGUGGAACUUUAAACUUGUUAAACAUAAGGGUGGAACACAUGUUCUUUCCUUCUCUAUUAUUAAGCCAAAAUACAUAUCUUCCCACAAAGAUUCGUUACUUCUGUUUUAUCAAGCCAAAGAUACUUCCCACAAAGAGAUGGCCAGGAAAUUUUGAACUUUAAGAAGAUGAGAAAGGAGUUCCUGCUGUGGCACAGUGGAUUAAGAAUCCGGCUACAGUGACUCAGGUUGCUGCAGAGGCAUGGAUUUGAUCCCGGAGCCAGCUCAGUGGGUUAAAAUGUCUGGUGUUGCUGCAGCUACGGUGUAGGUCACAGCUGUGGCUUGGAUUCAAUCCCUGGCCCAAGAACUUCCAUAUGCCGUGAGUGUGGUCAUAAAAGAAGAUGAGAAGGAAUUAAUUAGGUGUAAUAACAGCAUUGUGGGUAUGUGAAGAAAUGUCACACUUCUCAUCAGAGAUACACUCUAAAAGUAUAUGAGUAAAAUGACAUGAUGUCUAACUUGUGUUAAUACUUCAGCAAAGAAAAAAGAGAAAUAAAAGGAUAGAAGAAGGAUAUAUGGCAAACACUUUGCACUUUGUUGAAUCUAUAUGAUAGGUUAUGAGGUUUAUUGUAUUAUUGUCCCCAGAUUUACAUAUUCUUUAAUUUUCAUAGACUUAAAUUUUACAUUUAAGUUUUUCAUAACAAGUAUUUAAAGUCAUAAAAAUGAGCUCUUUAUCUCUUAAUCUGGUUUACUCCCAAAAAUGAAAAUAAAAAUGAUUUUACUUACACAAGGUCCAUCAUGUAGUUUAGUUAUUUAAGCCCUUCUAUCUGUAAGAAAUUGUAUUUUGAAAUAACUAUUUUUGCUCUGUGAUAUAUCACAAAUUACUAAAUUUUACUUGAUAAUCUUUGGCUAAGGGUGAGAAUGAAA